rnacentral:sRNA from 1 species
CGUGGAGGAUAACGUUGCGUCAGCAACGGCCCGUAGGGCGAGGCGAAGCCGAGUCAUCCUGCACGACCCACCA